GGGGAGGAAAUGCUGGGGAGGUGGGGGCAGAUCACAUCAACAUCUUGGCAUUGGGCUGGGUCGGCGUGGAGCCCCAGAAAUGUUCCCAAGCCCAUUCUUACCAAGAACCAAUGAGUAAAACAGAGAAACAACAGUAAGUGGGCCUCCCUCCAGGACCUGUCGAGAAAUAAGUAUAUAUACAUAUAUAUAGCCAUGCCCUGUCACCCAGGCUGGAGUGCAAUGGCGCGAUCUCGGCUCACUGCAACUUCUACUUCC
rnacentral:sRNA from 1 species